ACUGUCUUCGUCUCUCAGGUGGGGGAAAAGGGAUAUAGAAGCAUAUAGUCUAAGCUGGGAGUUAAAAACACUAGGUUAAAAUCCUAGCUUUGCUACUGAAUAGCUGUGUGACCUUAGGCAAUUUACUUAACCUCUCUGAGUCUCUGUAAAAUGGAGGGAAAAAAUGCUUCUCUGGAAGAGUGGUUAAAUACUUGAAAGAGGCAAUGUAACUGUCUUAUGCCUAGAGCAUAGUAGGUGCUUAACAAACAGUAGCUUAUUUCUGGCAUUAUAAUUAGAUGAGGGGAAGGUCCCUCCUAGCACAGACCCUGGAAGAUUCUAUGACUCAGGGAGUGGGCAGAUUGCAUCCAUGGUCCCUGCCCUCAUUUGUAGCUACCUGAAGGGCCUGUCUCAGCAAUAAAAACAGCCAAGUGAGCACAGGCAGAGAAACAUCAUUUCCUCCUCCUCUUGAGGGCAGGAGUCCAGGCGCAGCCCCAGCAGCAGGUAAUGCCCUAAAGCCAGGUUGGAAUAAAUGCAGAUGCUGCAAAUUGAUGGAGGCCUGGUGUCUUCCAGAGUGGAGGUAAAGGCUGGCUGAGGAAUCAGUGAGGCCAGGAAGAGGGCUCAGCUGAGCAACUGAUCAAAGCAUCCCUCUUCAGGAAGGAGCUUCCUGUGUUUUCUCUGGGAACUCACCUGUUUUCCACUCCAGACUCUCCAAGAUAUGCAGAGCUUUGGGCCAGGAUCCUACAGCCACGGGUCAUGCAGAGCCAGUUGGCCACAUCCUUUGGGCCAAAUUUGGUCCUAACCAGGUCUUACCACGGUAACUGCUAACCAGUCCAUCUUCAGUUAAUAUUUCAUGCAAAACAAUGGGCAAGUCAGCUCAUGAAGAACUUUUCAGAUAUUCAGACUAUUAUUCUGAGAGAGAAAAUAUUGGCAGAGAACAGAUGGGAUUUUUCUCAAGGAAAAGAAA
rnacentral:lncRNA from 1 species